CUUAGUCUCAAUCUCUAUUAAGAGAGCUGUAUCAACAUUAACACUUUAAUAAAGUGCUACCAUCCAGCAACCUCUGACUCUUUGGCCAUUCUCUGCGCUGCCUUGCCACUUCUUCAGGUUCUCACCGAGGUCGAGCAACCCAGGGAAGGAGCAGCGGUGCCUGCAUUCAUCCAUUGAUCCCGUCAUCCGGUACCUUUCUACGCAUCAUCAUGGUUAACCCCCGCCGAACUUCUUCCGUUGGACGCGAAAUUUCCCUCCGUGCCGCGGGUAUACGCCGCAGGCGUGCCUCCCGGUCGGUACUUAGGCUCCCUACAGCUCGUCAGUUGUUUGCCGACGAGAACGACUUAACAAGCAGAGUAACAAGGUACUCUCCAGUGCGUAGUUUCGCGCCCUCCCGCGCAUACCCUUAUCGU